GUGCGCGUAGCUCAAUGGCAGAGCUGCGGGUUGUGAUCCCGCCGACGACGGUUCGAUUCCGUUCGUGCACCCCA
rnacentral:tRNA from 6 species